rnacentral:lncRNA from 1 species
GAGACCUUGCACAAUCAGGCAGGUUUAAAAAAAUAGCAGAAUCGACCUCCUGAAAAUGAGAAACAAAACACUGGAAAUAAUAUUCAGUGGAUACACUACACAUUAGAUUAGAUGCAGGUGAAGAGAGAAUUGGUCAAUUGGAAGACAGAUAUCCAAAUUUAUCCAGAAUGGAGUUCUGAGAGAUAAAAAGGUAUAAAUUCUAAAACAGAAGUUAAAAGAUACAGAAGAUAAAAUGAUUUGAGACUACUACAUAUCUAACUUAGACUUCUGUCUGUAGAGAGAAUAGGGGAGUGCAAUUAUUUAGAGUUAAAUGCCCAUAAUUUCCCAGAAUUACUAAAAAAAAAAAAAUCUAAAGUCUAAGAAGCCUAAGACUUGAGAGACAGAGAGGGAGAGAAAGAGAAAGGAUACUAG